rnacentral:rRNA from 1 species
UACGUAGGGUGCAAGCGUUGCCCGGAUUUAUUGGGCGUAAAGGGCGCGUAGGCGGCUCUGCACGUUCGUUGUGAAAUCGCCCGGCUCAACUGGGCGGGGUCAGCGGAUACGGCAGAGCUUGAGCAAGCUAGGGGGCAAUGGAAUUCCCGGUGUAGCGGUGAAAUGCGCAGAUAUCGGGAGGAACACCAGUGGCGAAGGCGGAACUCUGGGCCGGAACUGACGCUGAGGAGCGAAAGCGUGGGGAGCGAACAGG